AGGGUUUGAUUAUGGCUCAGGAUGGACGCUAGCUACAGGCUUAACACAUGCAAGUCGAGGGGCAGCGGGAUUGAAGCUUGCUUCAAUUGCCGGCGACCGGCGCACGGGUGAGUAACGCGUAUCCAACCUUCCGCUUACUCGGGGAUAGCCUUUCGAAAGAAAGAUUAAUACCCGAUGGUAUCUUAAGCACGCAUGAGAUUAAGAUUAAAGAUUUAUCGGUAAGCGAUGGGGAUGCGUUCCAUUAGGCAGUUGGCGGGGUAACGGCCCACCAAGGCGACGAUCCAUAGCCGGCCUGAGAGGGUGAACGGCCACAUUGGGACUGAGACACGGCCCAG
rnacentral:rRNA from 1 species